GACGAACGCUGGCGGCGUGCCUAAUACAUGCAAGUUGAGCGCUGAAGGUUGGUACUUGUACCAACUGGAUGAGCAGCGAACGGGUGAGUAACGCGUGGGGAAUCUGCCUUUGAGCGGGGGACAACAUUUGGAAACGAAUGCUAAUACCGCAUAAAAUCUUUAAACACAAGUUUUAAGUUUGAAAGAUGCAAUUGCAUCACUCAAAGAUGAUCCCGCGUUGUAUUAGCUAGUUGGUGAGGUAAAGGCUCACCAAGGCGAUGAUACAUAGCCGACCUGAGAGGGUGAUCGGCCACAUUGGGACUGAGACACGGCCCAAACUCCUACGGGAGGCAGCAGUAGGGAAUCUUCGGCAAUGGACGAAAGUCUGACCGAGCAACGCCGCGUGAGUGAAGAAGGUUUUCGGAUCGUAAAACUCUGUUGGUAGAGAAGAACGUUGGUGAGAGUGGAAAGCUCAUCAAGUGACGGUAACUACCCAGUAAGGGACGGCUAACUACGUGCCAGCAGCCGCGGUAAUACGUAGGUCCCGAGCGUUGUCCGGAUUUAUUGGGCGUAAAGCGAGCGCAGGUGGUUUAUUAAGUCUGGUGUAAAAGGCAGUGGCUCAACCAUUGUAUGCAUGGAAACUGGUAGACUUGAGUGCAGGAGAGGAGAGUGGAAUUCCAUGUGUAGCGGUGAAAUGCGUAGAUAUAUGGAGGAACACCGGUGGCGAAAGCGGCUCUCUGGCCUGUAACUGACACUGAGGCUCGAAAGCGUGGGGAGCAACAGGAUUAGAUACCCUGGUAGUCCACGCCGUAAACGAUGACAACUAGCUGUCGGGGCACUUGGUGCUUCGGCGGCGCAGCUAACGCAUUAAGUUGUCCGCCUGGGGAGUACGGUCGCAAGAUUAAAACUCAAAGGAAUUGACGGGGGCCUGCACAAGCGGUGGAGCAUGUGGUUUAAUUCGAAGCAACGCGCAGAACCUUACCAGCGUUUGACAUGGUAGGACGACUUCCAGAGAUGGAUUUCUCCCUUCGGGGCCUACACACAGGUGCUGCAUGGCUGUCGUCAGCUCGUGUCGUGAGAUGUUGGGUUAAGUCCCGCAACGAGCGCAACCCUCGUCCUUAGUUGCAACCAUUCAGUUGUGCACUCUAAGGAAACUGCCGGUGAUAAGCCGGAGGAAGGUGGGGACGACGUCAAGUCCUCAUGGCCCUUACACGCUGGGCUACACACGUGCUACAAUGGCGGUGACAGUGGGUUGCCACUCCGCGAGGAGGAGCUAAUCCCAAAAAGCCGUCUCAGUUCGGAUUGCACUCUGCAACUCGAGUGCAUGAAGGCGGAAUCGCUAGUAAUCGCGGAUCAGCAUGCCGCGGUGAAUACGUUCCCAGGCCUUGUACACAGCGCCCGUCACACCAUGGGAGUUGGAUUGACCCGAAGGCUGUGGGCUAACCCGCAAGGGAGGCAGCAGACCACGGUCGGUUCAGCGACUGGGGUAAAGUCGUAACAAGG
rnacentral:rRNA from 1 species